GCCGUCUUAGUUUAAAGCAAAAUUCAAGUUCUUAGCUGUGGGAGUUUAAGCUUGAGAUACAGGUUCAAAUCCUGUAGACGGUG
rnacentral:tRNA from 1 species